UAAAGCGCACGCAGGCGGUUUGUUAAGUCAGAUGUGAAAUCCCCGGGCUCAACCUGGGAACUGCAUCUGAUACUGGCAAGCUUGAGUCUCGUAGAGGGGGGUAGAAUUCCAGGUGUAGCGGUGAAAUGCGUAGAGAUCUGGAGGAAUACCGGUGGCGAAGGCGGCCCCCUGGACGAAGACUGACGCUCAGGUGCGAAAGCGUGGGGAGCAAACAGGAUUAGAUACCCUGGUAGUCCACGCCGUAAACGAUGUCGACUUGGAGGUUGUGCCCUUGAGGCGUGGCUUCCGGAGCUAACGCGUUAAGUCGACCGCCUGGGGAGUACGGCCGCAAGGUUAAAACUCAAAUGAAUUGACGGGGGCCCGCACAAGCGGUGGAGCAUGUGGUUUAAUUCGAUGCAACGCGAAGAACC
rnacentral:rRNA from 1 species